AGAUUCCACUUUUUUAGUAUUCCUUGCGAAAACAAAGGAAUUGAGCCCAUGGGCUAGUUCGAAGCCUUAAAUUACCUAGGGUGGCUUGCUCUGCACUAAAAUUUCCCAAUUUCUUGUAGCUUCCGGAAGAGCAAUUGACUGCAUCAAUCUUUCCUCAGAACUGAUAAUAAUCGAAUAAAAGGGUCAUGGCGGGUGGAAAUUUCAUGCACAGAGUGAUAUCUUAUGUCGUUAAUGAGCUUGUCGUCAAUGGUCUCGCUAACAGCCCUGCAUUUCAGAGGUUCGCUGUGAGAACUUCUAGGAAGAUUGAGGAUAUUUCAAACAUUGCUGAGAAAAAAAAGCAAGAACUUGCUGAGCAGGUGAAAGAUAUCGCCAAGAACAUGGAGUCCUUCAAGAACCAGAGAUGAUGGGGUGGUCAUUAUCUUUUACACCUUAUGUUCCCCGUUACAAUGGCAGCUGGAAACUAGAAAGCAUACCAUUUGUGAGAGUGGGAAGAAUUUUUCGACUUCCACAAUUCAAUUUCUCAAUGUCCGACUCCCGCGCCCUGAAUUUCAGGAAAGAAUUAUUGUCAAUGGAACCAAGGAACCACAUGUAAGCUGAUCAUGGAGUUGGUCACGCUCUUUGUAUAUCUCAAUUCAGGCUUGAGAUUCCAUGGAAGGAAGAAUUGGUUCUGGCAUUGCACUUUGAAGGUUGUCUUCAAACUCGUAAAUCCUCAUUCCUAGUGAGUGUUUAAAAUCUUCCAUCGUUAUUCCUACUAUUCUCACUUGAUGCUGAUACGGUUGACAUGGAGAGAGAAAACGUUUCAGAUGGUUGAAAGAAUGAGAGUAGCUGCUGUUGUGGAAGGGUGAUGCUAACAAGAGGGAGUUCUCUCCUCUUUACUUUAUGAGGGUAUUUAAGGUAUUAUAAUUGUUUCUCUUAGUUUUGACAAGUUGUAUUAACUAAUAGUAGAAUGACUCUUUAAGUGGAUGAAUAUCACUUGGGAAUGUCAACAAGGCAUCGAGGAUUAGGCUUCAGUCAUUUGUCCAUAGAUUGAACAAUGCUCGGGAGACCAUUAUAUCCAAAACACAAGGAUAGCUGGGCGAUUUGGGAUUAAAGCCGUCGCUAGUCCCACAGCAUUCGGGCAAAAGACGGACAACGCGCUAUUAUAUUCAAAAUUUGAUACAUAAAAUUGAUUGGAAUGAGAUCACACGAAACGGUCGACCUUGGUGUUUGCCUGAUUUCAGUCUGUCAGGUUACGUCUUCCUGAAGGACUGCACUCUGGUGAAAAUGGAAAAUGCUCCACCAAAUCAAAUUUGUAGGUGACGGAUAUCUAUCAUGACGGGGCGUUGGGUGCAAUACAAUGGGGAAAUAAUUUGAAGUGGACGAAGGAAAGUCCCUAUGCAGGCCUGUUUUAACCACUUGGUUGCUACGGUUGUGGAAUAAACUUCUCACAAAUAAAUGUAAUUGAGAAAUGAGAGCUCUUUUUGUCAAGCCUGAAAGAGGUUGAUGUACAUAAGCUAGGAGGAUUCAGAUUUGGUUCAGUUUUAAGUAGUUUGAAUUUAAUCGAUUCUAUUACCUUUCACU